UACGAAGGGGGCAAGCGUUGUUCGGAAUUACUGGGCGUAAAGGGCGCGUAGGCGGCUUAUCAAGUCAGGCGUGAAAUUCCCGGGCUCAACCUGGGGCUGCGCUUGAUACUGAUUGGCUUGAAAUGCGGGAGAGGAUAGUGGAAUUCCCGGUGUAGCGGUGGAAUGCGUAGAGAUCGGGAAGAACAUCAGUGGCGAAGGCGGUCUGCUGGGCCGUUGCUGACGCUGAUGCGCGACAGCGGUGGGGAAGCAAACAGG
rnacentral:rRNA from 1 species